GGCCCAAAUUUGAAGUAGAGUAGAUUAGUAUGGUCAGCUGAUCCUUCUAAUCUACUCUACUUCAAGUUUGUGCCC
rfam:Haemonchus placei strain MHpl1 genome assembly, scaffold: HPLM_scaffold0001487